GACGAACGCUGGCGGCGUGCUUAACACAUGCAAGUCGAACGGAAAGGCCCUGCUCUUGUUGGGUGCUCGAUUGGCGAACGGGGGAGUAACACGUGAGUAACCUGCCCUUGACUUUGGGAUAACUUCAGGAAACUGGGGCUAAUACCGGAUAUGAGCUCCUGCUGCAUGGUGGGGGUUGGAAAGAUUCGGCGGUUGGGGAUGGUCUCGCGGCUUAUCAGCUUGUUGGUGGGGUAGUGGCUUACCAAGGCUUUGACGGGUAGCCGGCCUGAGAGGGUGACCGGCCACAUUGGGACUGAGAUACGGCCCAGACUCCUACGGGAGGCAGCAGUGGGGAAUAUUGCACAAUGGGCGGAAGCCUGAUGCAGCAACGCCGCGUGCGGGAUGACGGCCUUCGGGUUGUAAACCGCUUUCGCCUGUGACGAAGCGUGAGUGACGGUAAUGGGUAAAGAAGCACCGGCUAACUACGUG
rnacentral:rRNA from 1 species